rnacentral:rRNA from 1 species
GAUGAACGCUAGCGGGAGGCCUAACACAUGCAAGCCGAGCGGUAUUUGUCCUUCGGGACAGAGAGAGCGGCGUACGGGUGCGGAACACGUGUGCAACCUGCCUUUAUCUGGGGGAUAGCCUUUCGAAAGGAAGAUUAAUACCCCAUAAUAUAUCGAAUGGCAUCAUUCGAUAUUGAAAACUCCGGUGGAUAGAGAUGGGCACGCGCAAGAUUAGAUAGUUGGUGAGGUAACGGCUCACCAAGUCAGUGAUCUUUAGGGGGCCUGAGAGGGUGAUCCCCCACACUGGGACUGAGACACGGACCAGACGCCUACGGGAGGCAGCAGUGAGGAAUAUUGGACAAUGGGUGAGAGCCUGAUCCAGCCAUCCCGCGUGAAGGACUAAGGCCCUAUGGGUUGUAAACUUCUUUUAUACUGGGAUAAACCUACUUACGUGUAAGUAGCUGAAGGUACAGUAUGAAUAAGCACCGGCUAACUCCGUG